AGUUAAAACAGCAGCCUUAGCUGAACACAAAUAUUACAACCAAAAAUGUAUCUUCCAUUGUUACUUUUCCAAUUUCUUAUGAGAAAAUUUAAACUACUCCGUUGCAGUACUUUCCGGAAAAGCUGAGAUGGUGAAAUUUGGAGCUCGAAAACAGCUUGAUGUUCAACAGAAUGCAGCAAGCAAUAUUGCAUAGAUGACUGUCUCUAUUUUGGGGCAGGGUUGGAUUAGACAUGCUGACUGGGUUUCUUAAUAACUUCGUUUCUACUUCAAUAAGUUGUGGCCGUUCAACAGAAUGCAGCAAGCAAUAUUGCAUAGAUGACUAUCUCUAUUUUGGGGCAGGGUUGGAUUAGACAUGCUGACUGGGUUUCUUAAUAACUUCGUUUCUACUUCAAUAAGUUUGUAAUGUAAUCUAUCAAGUGAUUUCUUUUCAAACGUAAUCUUUCUUUUUCUC
rnacentral:lncRNA from 1 species